rnacentral:rRNA from 1 species
GACGAACGCUGGCGGCGUGCUUAAUACAUGCAAGUCGAGCGAGGUUACUGUUUUGGAUCCCUUCGGGGUGAAGAAGCUUUAACCUAGCGGCGGACGGGUGAGUAACGCGUGGGUAACCUACCCCAAAGUCCGGGAUAACAGCGGGAAACCGCUGCUAAUACCGGAUGCCUUUACCUUGGGGCAUCUUGAGGUAAAGAAAGGCAACGCUUUGGGAUGGGCCCGCGUCCCAUUAGCUAGUUGGUGAGGUAACGGCUCACCAAGGCGACGAUGGGUAGCCGGCCUGAGAGGGUGGACGGCCACACUGGGACUGAGACACGGCCCAGACUCCUACGGGAGGCAGCAGUAGGGAAUAUUGCGCAAUGGACGGAAGUCUGACGCAGCGACGCCGCGUGAGCGAUGAAGGUCUUCGGAUCGUAAAGCUCUGUCCUUGGGGAAGAAGGCGAAAGCUUGACGGUACCCAAGAAGAAAGCCCCGGACUAACCUACGUGCCAGCAGGCCGCGGUAAAAUCAACCGUGUA